AUAAAUUUCAUUAAAAAUUGAAAGGCAAUGCCCAAAUUUCAAAAAGAUAGAGAAUAGAAAUACAGAUAAAAGUAAAAGAAAUGAGAAAAAAACAUUGACUCUCUCCCAUUAGCUACGUAGUCUAGUUAUAUAAUAACUAGAUACGCUGCCUUAGGAGGUUGGUCUCCCACACUUUUAUCACAGAUGUCUCCAAAGGGUGACAACAACUCUUCGUGUAACACGUCCUUACUGACCUCUUUAAAGACUACCUUAGGAGGCCUACCAACGUGCUGGGAGACCAACCUCUAAUACUUUCCACAAUUCCCCCCAUAGCCCUAAACCUUACACAUCCAGACAUCAGGCUAGGUGAUGUAAUCGAAGCUUGUCAGAAACUGAUACACCAUGCACCUCCAUGGGACCUCCAUUGGAACAUAAUAGGAGAACUCACUUGGCAUAUCUGGUCAGAGAGGAACAAAAGAUUACAACAACAUACUCUUUAGCAUAGUUCAAAAAGCGACGCUUAAGCGUCGCUUUAAGCGAAAAUAGCGGCAAAGCGGUUUUUUUGGACCGCUUUGCCAAACGCUUUUUUCAAAUGUUAUAAUGUGUUUUUUGGACCAUUAAUGAGGUAUUUAUUUAUCUCAUACACGUGUUAUUUAUCUCAUUUGACAGAUCUAUGAGAUAAAAAUAAUACGUGUCUAUUAAUGGGGUAUUUAUUUACCUCAUACACGUAUUAUUUAUCUCAUUUGACAGAUCUAUGAGAUAAAAAUAAUACGUGUCUAUUAAUGGAAAGUUAAAGAUAGCUAAAGAUAUAACCGCUUUAGCUAAAUAAUACGUGUCUAUUAAUGGGAAGUUAAAGCUUUAACCGCUUUAGCUAAAUAGCUAAAGAUAUAUCUGUUUAUAUUUAGCUAAGAUAACCGUUUUAGCUAUUUAGGGUUAUAUAUAGCUAAACCGCUUUAACCGCUUUAAGCGACGCUAAAGCGGUUAAAGCUAAAAAAGCGCUCCCUGGAAAUUGGGAGCGCUUUCCGCUUUUUCGAACUAUGCUCUUUAGAUUAUCAUUAAGGACUCCGGCCUUUCCUUUAGAACUGAUUUCUUUAAGAAAGGUUGCGGUUCUCAAAUGGAGAAGACUACUAUGCAGGUUUGGGAGACUAACCUCCUGAGGCUCAACCUUUAGUUAUUAGAUCACUAUGAGUGCUAACCACGUAGGAGAAUGUCGAUGGAGUGGGAAACCACUCUAUCCACCCCAUACAUUUUAAUUUCUUUUCCACCUUGUAAUCUCAGGGUAAUGCCCUUCAUUAUACUAAUGAAAAACUUUACUGUUUGAAAAAAUGUAAUAUUUCUGUUGUAGAGUUAUGUAAUUGACACUUGGAAACUAUGAUGUUGUACAGACGAUGCUGAGUUUCCAAAGGUGCAAUCACACCGUGAUUUUCUUAAAAAACAUGUUAUUUUUAAGGAGGUGAGUGCUUGCUUGGUCACUGUAAUCAGGAUAUAGCUUUAACAAAUUAUUAUUUAAAAACUGAGAUUUUUUUACAGGCAAUUCCUAUCAAAAGAUCUAUAUUAUUGUCCAAGAUACAUCAAACAUACAGGAUUAAUUAUAUAAAGGUUUGGAUUUUGGAAUAUUUUAUAAUUACAUGCUUAUUUUAAAUACUUUAUCUUACAAGUUACGUGCUAUUACAUUGCAUUCUUUUAUUAUUAUUAUUAUUUCAGGAUGUAAUUUUACCAAGAGCACUUGAUGAAGGAACAAUGACAAGUCUCAAUUCCAUCAUCAAUUCUAAUAAUGCCACUGUGAGAGAUUGGACUUCAAACUCUAUUUCAUACAUUGAUAGAGUAAUGGUUAUUUGUUAUUUGUUAAUACCGUGACGUGUUUCAUUUUUUGUAGGUUGUUUCUUCAUUGAAGGAUGACACUUCUUUCAUUCAUGACUUGUUCACAAAGAUGAAAUCAUCAAGUACAUCAGCAGAAUCAAAAAAGAUGUUGGUAAGUUAAAAAUCGAGAGAAUUAAUUUUCUCUGGUUAUUUGUCAUCUUUUGUUUAUAUUUAUAAAUUAAUUUUAAUCAUGGUUUUAAGUUGCGUGCGCUAUAAACCCUAGAGCGCGUAUAGCCGGCGCUAUCUCUCCACGCUAUGAGCUGGCAACAUGAUUUUUUUAAAGUUUGUAAAUGGUAUACCGGAAUCCGUAUUCGAAUCCGCAUUCGAAUUCGAAUAUGACUAUCCAGAUUCGGAUUUGGAUACCUGAAUUGAAAUCCGGAUUUUAUUCGGUCGGAUUCGGAUAUCCAGAAAAUCCGCCGUUAAAAUCCGAAUUCGUUUAAGAAUUCCGGAUUCGGAUAUCCGGAUAAAUAUAUAAUAAAUUAAUAUUAAUACUAGUAUUAUUAUUAUUAUAUUAUAUUAUAUUAUAUAUUUAUAUUUAUAUUAUAAAUAAUUAAACAUUUAAAGUUUUAAACCUAAUUACCUUUAUAAUUAUAAAAAUCUUUAUAACUUAUUAACUUAUAAUUAUUAAAUCAUAACCCUAACUCUAACCCUAAUUCUAAAGUUAUUCGGAUUCGGAUUAUCUGGAUAAUUUAUCCGGAUUCGGAUUUUCAAAUCCGGAUUUUAUUUGGUCGGAUUCAGAUAUCCAGAUAAUUAUUCGGAUUCGGAUACCUGCAUAUCCGAUCCAAAUCCGACUGAUAUACAGGCUUAAUUUUUUUGAAUCAGAUUUAUAUAAAACGAAUUCUGAUCUUGAUUUUUUCUCUCUUUCUUAGAAUCAUAAUUCUAAUUUCUAAAAACAUGGAAUGAUCUGAUUUUUUUAAAUAGGGUCAGAUUUUCAUCUUGAUUUUCAAUUUAUUUUAAACAGGGUCUGAUCUGGGUCUGAUUUUACUCUUUGUUUUGGUCACUAAAAUUUAUUAUUUUUACUUUUAAAAGUAUUGAUUAUUUCCUACUCUUUAUUGACUAUAUUAUAUGGUUUAUAGUUAAUUGAUGGAAUUAAUAUUACAGGGUUUAAUAAUAUACAUGUAUAUCUGAUUUUUUUUUUAAUCACACUUGACGGUAUGUAGACGCUAUAGCACGCUAUCUCUCCAUAGCGCGGGUUGCCGGCUCUAUGCGUUAUAGCGCAACUUAAACCUUGAUUUUAAUUAGUACUCUCUUACAUUUCGAUCACAAAUUUGUGUUUAUUUUUUAUAAUGGAUAGAGGGUGGGCUUAGGGUUUAAUAUUAUUAUAUAUUCUCACAUUUAAGUGUUUUGUGGAGGGAAAGAUGGCUGAGGAUACCAUGAAAUAACAAUUCAAAUUAUAAAAUUAUAAAUUCUUUAAUAAUAAAACACCAUCUUAUACAGAUUGUGAUCUGUGGAGAGGUGGUUGAUGACUCCUUAGCCAAUGGUCCUAACACUCCUAUUUAUGGGUUUAUUACAGAACUUUAUUGAGAUUUUAACUUUUUAUUGGAAUGGGGAGUAUACCAAUUACCAAGUGUACUUGUUUGUUAUUCACUUUGGGGGCCAUUAGUGCACAUAUUGCAGUUCUGUUUAAAGUUUUCUGUGAGUAUUAUUUGGUAACAAUGUAAUUUUUUUGAACUGCAAUAUGUGCACUAAUGGCCCCCAAAGUUAAUAAUAGGUACACUUGGUAUACUCUCCAUUGGCCACACGUGGUACACAAAGUUAAUAACAAGUACACUUGGCCACACUUGGCACUAAUAGCGUCAAAGAAGAUGUUCACAUCUUUGAGAAUCUCACUGAUGGUGUAUUGUAACUAUUGUUUGAGCUUCCUAUUCGUCUCAGCCCAUACGUGCCACACCAUGCAUCCAAGUGUGGCCUAAUGUAACUCCCAGCAACUUGCUUCUGUAGUAGACUACUGCGUGUAUUGUCCUCUAUCACACCCCCUUUUUCUGGCUUGAUGUCAUGAUACCAUGUGCUGAUGGAUAUCUUUAUUGUUUAGGGUUCAGUUUUUUGUUGUUGUUAGUUUCAUUCUUUUAUGUGGACUUGAUCCUGAUUGUUUGAGAUCGUUUCACUCUUAACCAGGUUUUUUUCUUGCAAGAGUUUUGCAGUUUAGGCAAGAGUUUGCCACUUGUGCAUCAAUUACGCCUAUAUCGGUAUACUGAUUUUUAUUGUUAUUUUAUGAGUUCCGUUGGUUGUUUACACCAUUUCCUGGCUAGAAAGUAUCAGUUGUUUUGUUUGUUUUGGACUUUUGCAGUUGCCAGUCAUUAAUCUUUCACCCUUUUGUUUUUAUCAGUGAUUUUGCAAGUGAGGGGGCAUUUGAUGUUAUCACUGAAGCACUGCUGAGUUAUGAUAAGAAACUUAUAUCAGCAGGGUAAUUUCCAUGCAUGUUCAUUUUACAUUUCUUUUCUUGCCAUAUGGCAUUGUGGCUAUUUAAUGCAAGCUAGUAAAUAUUUUCAAAUUCCAGGACCGACAUCCUUAUACUCUUCCUUGGUCAGGACCCAAACCUUCUAAGGACGUAUAUUACUCAACAAAAUGGCCUAUCUCUUUUUGGCCUUCUGGUAUUUAUUCUAUAGAUAUGAAUUAUUGUCAUUGCAAUAUCCUAGUUUUUCUUGUUGUGUGAGCUCUAUCUAGAAUGUAGAUGCAAUAUCACAGGUCUCUAAUUUAUAAGUGUGGGGUUUUCAAAUGUAUUUACGAUUGCAAGGGUACAUGGUAUUAUAAAUAACACAUUUUAUUUUCCAGGUUAAAGGUGUUGGGGAAGAUACACACUGUCAGUUUCUUGAAAUUAUUCGCAUUUUAUUGGAUUCGUGUGCUCCAUCAAUUACGUAUCAGGUUCAAAUAUUUAGUGCAUGAGUGCAUCUAUGAUUUAUUUUUUAGAUUAUCUUGACUUUGUUAAUUCUAUAGUGUGAUUACCAUGAUUAUAUUUUCAGUUGGAGGUUUACAGAUUACAAUAACACCUUAAUACCUGUUGCAUAGGACCCAGCUGGAAGCUAUCAGCAUAGAAUAUUUUAAGAAGUUAUUUACAUUUUAUCCCAAUCCCUUACAAGUUAUACCCAUCAAUCCAUCAUAUUCCCAAGGGUAGCCUCUUCAGACAUGAAUGAUUGACUUGCAACUGCAACCACUAGAGGAAGAGAUUAGAUCCACUCUGUUCUCAACUCAGGGAAAUCCCCUGGACUUGAUGGGUUGACAUCAGAGUUUUUUAGAAAGUUCUGUUUUUAAGGGAAAGCUCAUCCUAAAUCUGCCAAUCACAUUUUCUUAACUCAUACCACAACUCACACAACCACAGAUAUGGGGGACUUUGACUCAUAUCACGUGUCAAUCUUAUAUACAAACUCAUGACCAAAAUCUCAGCAGAUAUGUUAAGAAAGGUAAAUGGAUUGAAUAUCCCCUAAUCAGGCAGCCUUCAUUGAGGGAAGAUUGAUAUCAUACGACAUAACCUAGGCAAAUGAGAUGGUAUGCAGAUUUGAGAGGAAGAAAACUCCCAAAAGUUACUGCCUUAGUAUUGUACUAAGAAAGGCAUUUGACACAGUAAAAUGGAAGACAAUUUUGACUACACUUUCAGCUCUAAGAAUCUUGACCAUGGUUUUGAAAGUGGGUAAUCGGACAGGUAACGAUCCGCCCGAUUACCCAAUUAUACCUAUUAUUUAAUAAUAUUUUCACUUAAUGUACUUUUUUCCCAUUCUACCUCUCUAUUUUAACUUAAAUUAAAAAUCCUUACUCCACUUUCUAAAAACCUUAAAAGUCUUCAUUUCUCUCCAUCCACUUCACCUCGCUGGAGCAGCCACUACUGUCGCCAAAGUUGGCUCUCAUUCUGGCCGGAGAAGAUCAUUUUCUUGAAUAUAGUUGCUGCUGUCGCCCCCCUCCACACGUCUCCUGAUUUUGUUAAGGUUUUAUAUUCUCCCAAGCCCCCAACAUCCUGAAACGAGGAACUCGUUUUUUUGUUUUGUUUUUUAAUUUUAAAAUUCUUUUAUAGCUUCGCUUACUAUAUUCCUACAGCCCCCAAAACGAGUUUUAUAUUUUUAUUUUUUUAUCAGUUUUAAUGUUUUAUAUGUAUUUAUAUUUUAUAUUGGACAAUAUGAAUUUUUACCUUUUUAUCAAAAUGCCCCUGGCACUUUAAGCGCGCUAAAGCACCCAAAGCAAAAAAAUGCCUCCUGAAAAGGGGAGGCGCUUUUUGCUUUUUUGAACUAUGGUGUUGAAUUUUUUACUAAAGUGUUUAAAGCCCUACUAAGACCACCAGUGGUAGUAGCCGUACACUCCUACCGAUGGAUUGUGUUUAGUGAGACGAACAUAUGGCUAGAUCACAGACUAAUUGAAUCUGAAGUAAGAGAGGUAUUGUUCUCCCUCUCCCAUGGUAAAGCACCUGGUCCUGAUGGCUUUACAGUUGCUUUCUUUCAGAAAUUCUGGAAUGAACUAAAGCCUAUGAUCAUGGCUUGUGUUAGGGAGUUCUUUCAAGGAUUACACUUGUCCCUAAAAAACCUACUGCCUCUGAUCUCUCUGAAUUCAGGCUAAUUUCAUGUGUGAAUCUCAUAUAUAAGUUACUCUCUAAGAUCCUUGUUAAUAGGAUGAAUGAAGUGGCAAGCAUGUUGGUCUCCCUUAACCAAACUGCUAUUAUGAAAGGCAUGGUUAUAUACUUAUAUCUGAUAAUAUCCUCCUAGCAGUAGAAAUGCUCUGAGGCUUCGGUAGGGCUAGAACACCUAAAGAUGCAUGUUGAGUGUGGAUCUAAGGAAAGCAUUUGAUACCAUUAGGUGGGAUGCUAUCCUUGAAGCCUCCACCAGCCAAGGUUCCAGAUGCGCCGCCACCUGGAGCACUUGAGCAUAUGCGUGCAGAUACGUCAGUGGCAUUUUCGUAAAUAUAUAUAAAACUAAAGGAAAUUCAUAUAUUUUUUUAUAUAUCUAAACUAUAUCAAUUAAAUUUUUUAGUUAAAAAUAUAUUAGAUAGAAAAAUUAUUAUAAUACAUAUAUUUAAUAAUUAUCAUAACACUCUAUAAUUCAUUGUAACAUCAAGGUUUAAAAACCGGUAGGGGUAUUUUCGUAAUAAUAUAACUCUUUAAAUGGCUACGGAUUUUUUAAACUUAUAAAAGAGAGGCUUUUAUAAAAAGAAAAUAAUAAAUAACCCAAGAGGCUUUUAAAAAAUAAUAACGUAAUGGGUUGGGCCUUCUUUAAUACAUUUAUAACAUCAAAAAUCUAUAUAAUAAUAAUUUAUUUAACUACACUUUUUUAGUCUCACAUUAGGAUUGGGCAUGGGUCGGGUUUAGGCCGGACCCGAACCCGAGUUUUCAAAUCGGGUUCUGGUUCGGGUCAAAAUCCGGGAAGGUCAAAAAAUAUUGAACCCCGACCCGAACCCGGUUUUGAUGUCGGGUUUGGUUGGGUUUGGUUGGGUUCGGGUCCGGGUCCGGGUCCGGGUUCGGGUUUAAUAAAUUGAUUGAAUAUUUUGCAUAAAAAAACCUGUUGUUUAAACAAUAUAUAAAUUUUAUAAAAAUCAAAUAAAAUGGUUUGUGAAUAUAGAGAGGGUUUGUGAAGAUGGAGAGAUCCGAUGACGGUGAGGAGAGGUCCGACGACGGCGAGGGGAAAGGGUCGGCGACGGCGAAGAGGGAAAAUGAAAGUGAAAGAGUUGAGGGAAAUGAAAUUAAGGUUUAAAUUUUAAGAUAUGAAAUUAACUAAUUAAGGUUUAUAAAAGAUGAGAAAUUUAUAAUUAUAUAUAUUAAUUUUUUUAUAAAGUGUUUUAUAUGAAAUUAUAUUAAUUAUUUAUAUUUUAAUGAUUUUUUUAUAAAUUUCUUCGGGUUUCGGGUGAGUCGGGUUUGGUUCGGGUUUAACCCGAACCCGACCCAAAAAAAUCGGGUAAAAAUUACUCGGGUUCGGGUCGUUCGCAUCGGGUUUCAUGACCGAAAAUAUCAACCCGAACCCGACAUGUUCGGGUUUGACCCGACCCACGCCCAUCCCUAUCCCACAUCGAUAGAAUUCAAAAAACACAAAGAAGAUUGGUUUAUAAAUAAAGAUUCAUUUUGUCUAAAAUAAAUAUAAAGUCUUAAGAGUGGGAGGAGCUUAUAUUAAGAAUAAUAUAGCUUUUUCAUGGACCAAUGUAUAAAUUUUUGACAUAAAAAUUUAUAAGGUCUAUAAUUUUUUUUUUUUGGCCUUUUUUUAAAUAACAACAAAACCCUGUUUUAAGGUAUUUAAAUAACUUAAAACAGUGUUUUGUUUUUAUUUAAAAAAAAAAAGGCAAAAAAAAUUUAUUUUAAGACCUUAUAAAUUUUUAGCAUAAAAAUUUAUACAUUGGUCCAUGAAAAGAGUUAUAUUAUUUUUAAUAUAAGCUCCUCCCACUCUUUAGACUUCAUAUUUGUUUUAGACAAAAUGAAUCUUUAUUUAUAAACCAACCUUCUUUGUGUUUUUUGAAUUCUGUCGAUGUGGGACUAAAAAUGUGUGGUUAAAUAAAUUAUUAUUAUAGAGUAUUUUUUAUGUUGUAGAUGUAUUAAAGAAGGCUCAGCCCAGCCCAUUACGUUAUCAUUUUUUAAAAGCCUCUUGGGUUAUUUAUUAUUUUAUUUUUAUAAAAACCUCUUGGGUUAUUUAUUAUUUUCUUUUUAUAAAAGCCUCUCUUUUAUAAGUUUAAAGAAACCCUAGCCAUUUAUAGAGCUAUAUUAUUACGAAAAUACCCCUAAAUGAUUAACCGGUUUUUAAACCUUGGUGUUACAAUGAAUUAUAGGGUGUUAUAAUAAUUAAUAAAUAGAUGUAUUAUAAUAAUUUUUCUAUCCAAUAUAUUUUUAACUAAAAAAUUUAAUUAAUAUAAUUUAGAUAUAUAAAAAAAUAUUAAUUUCCUAUAGUUUUAUAAAUAUUUACGAAAAUGCCACUGGCGCAUCUGAGCGCAUAUGCACGCAUAUGCUCCAGGCGGCGGCGCAUCGCGCAGAGGCGCAUCUGGAACCUUGGCCGGGCGCAUCUCCCAGUAGGGUCGCACCUGCGCAUAUGCGUGCACACCUGGAACCUUUCCACCAGCACAUUUAAAAGUCAGGAAGACCUAAGACAAGGAGAUCCAAUAUACUCAUCCUAUCCAACUUGGUUAUUGAUUGCCUUGGUAGACUUAUAUACUAAAGGGAGUGGAAGAAGGAAGAAAUGAAGAAUUGAUACCUAUCAAGUCAAUGGGGCUAGGUCUACAUCUCACCUAAUAUAUGUUGAUGAUAUUUUCAUCUUCUCUAAGGCUAACCCAAAAUAUCUGGGAGCCAUUAGGGACAUCUUAUUUGUUUUCUCAAACUUCUCGGGCUUGGAGGUUAAUAAUGAGAAAAGCAAUGCGCACUACUCCAAAGUAGUGUACUCGGGAGAUAAUAGGUUCCCCCCUAAAAAACUCCCACUUACCUAUUUAAGAAUCCUAAUCUCUUGUAAAAGGAAAAUUAUUGAACAAUGUACUGGCCUAAUUCAACCAAUGGAGAAGACCUUAGACAAAUGGAAGGGUAUAUGUCUAUCCUCGUGGAGGCAGGAUUCAAUUAGUUAAUUUGUUGGCAUUGUUCACUUACUGGAUAAAUGGUUCCAUCCUGCACAAUUCAGUAAUCACUAAAGUUAGACAACUGGCCUAUCCUCCCUCUCCCUCAUGGAUAAGAGACAAAUACAUCAAGGGCAGGAGCCUGGAUUCUAUACAUGCCUCCCCCUCUAGGGAUUUCAUUACGUGGAAGUCCAUUCAUAAGUAUAAGAAUGAAAUUGGAUAACCGAUGGAUUGUAGUGAUAACUACAUCCUUAACCUUACUAGAUUAAAACAAGGAACUCCUGCCAAAAAAAUCGUGUAGCAUUAACCCCACCCAGAAAAACUGACCCACUUGCUAAAGGUAUCUGGUCUAGGAAACCCACCUUAUUCUUAGUGUUACUAUAGAGGUUGAGAUGGAGCUUCCUCCCACGUCCUUCUACACCCUUAGACUAUGGGGGAUCCCUGCACCCUAACUUUGUGUCAUAUUUAACCUUGAAGCUGAAACUGUUGGUCACCUUUUCUUUGACUGCCCUUUCUCUAUAGACAUCCUUUUAAUUGUAUCAGACAAACUUUUACAUGCGAGUAGGCGUUUGUGCGAUGGAUUGGGUCGCAUGAACGCCUAGGUCGUCUAGGCAUCGCCUAAAACAUGGGAGCUUACUGGAGUGGGAAAUAGGGCUAGACAGAGUGGGAGGUAGGGCUGACCGGAGUGGGAGAGGUCAAGGUUCGCCAGAGUUGACUGGACGAUGUUCGUCGGAGGUUGCCGGAAUCGCCUUGCGACGUACGUCGGAGGUCGCCGGUGCCGAAGGAGGUUGGCUGAAAAAGAGGUGGGAGAAAAAAAGAGGUGGCUGGAAAUUUGGGAAAAAAGAGAGAAAAAUAGGAGAAAAAUGAGUGAAUAGGGUUAUAAAAUCCUAACCCCCUCUUUUUUAAAGAGAUUUAAUGAGUAUUUGGGUUAGGCGGAUCCAAUACCCUAACCCUAACCGAAUCCACCUAACCUGCCUAGCGCAUGAAGUCAAUCGCCUAGGCGAUCACAUGUAAAAUUAUGGUAUCAGAGGCAACCAAUCGUAUUAUUUGGAAGAGCUGGAAGCAAUCAGAUUGGGGGAUGUGAUAGAUAAUAUACAGUCUCCAAGGAGAGGCUACUUGGAGAUUGCUCUGGUCAUUGCUUGGUGGAAUUACUUGGCACUUGUGGUAAGAGAGGAACAAAAAGUGGAAAAUUGGUGGUUUCAAAACUGAGGAAGUGGUGCCUGCUGAGAUUAUCAAGGACUGCAAGUUAAGCUUUGAUGUAAGACUAACCCUCCUAACUUGGGUAUUCUUGAGGUUGCUGUUAUUGGGCAAUGGAUAAGCUAAUUCCUCUCUAUUUUAUAUUUGAUUGCUAUACUUUUAUGUCCAAUUAUUUCCUGAUCGUGUCAGCCCCAGAUGAUUUUUCCUACUCUCGAGUAGUGCUGUUUGUUAAGGGGUAAUGGUUUUAUUUUUCUGUCGAUAUGUAAAACUGGGAAAGACCCACUUCAUUUUUAAUGAAAAUUUACCUUUGUAAAAAAAAGAAUUAUUAUACAACUCUUUCUCGAAAUUAGUCAACAUACACAUCUCUUCCCGUACAUUGCCCGACAUCGGAUUGGGAGACCUCAUUGAUGCUGGUUAAAAGUUCACACACAAAUAUCCUCAUUGGGGUCUGUUAUGGAACUCUCUGGGAAAGUAACAAAAUGCUCAAGAAGCAUACUCUGAGAACUCCAGAAACCCAUUCCAAGGAAAUCAUAAGAGAAAUCAACCUCUCCUACAAAUCUGAAGAUUUUAGGAGGUUUGCUACAUUCAAUUGGAGAUAACUACUAUGCAAAUAUGAGAGACCAACCUCCUGAGACAGCACACCUAACUAUUUAUUCAUUAGUUGUAAUGCUAUAUAAGAAUAGGCAAAGAAUCAAUGAGUCUUUUCUCAUCUCCCAAUUUUAUUUUAUUUAUUUUCUUCAGUGUAAUUCAGGGUACUGCCCUUCAUUAUUCUAAUAAAAAUUUACUUCUACCAAAAAAGAGUACCUUAUAAGAAUGUCGAACAUGCAUUCUUAGUUCUUACUAUUCUCUUGAUUAGUAAUACUACGCAGAUAAAUUUUACCAAUAUUCAGGUAACAUUUUUAUUUGUCUGCAUUUUUACUUUUACAAAGUGAAUUUUAAAUUUGUACUCAUCCUAAAAUAAACUUUUGAAGUGAGCUAUCUGUUACAGAGAGAUGCAAUUGUGGAGAUAUUCUACGAAAGUCAUUUGGAUCAGUUAAUUGAAAUUAUAAAUUCAGGCUGUACCUCAGAAAACACUGAUCUGGAUUCCAAGUUUUCAUUAUCUGAUGGAAAAGUUGGACACAACACCAUAAAACCUGAAAUUAUGUUAAAUAUCUGUGAGCUUUUGUGCUUUUGUGUUCUUCGUCAUCCUUAUAAAAUAAGGUAACUAUCAUGGAUCCUCUGUUUAUUUCCUGUAAUUUGUAACUUAUUGUCGCUUGUCAUAUUUAUAUACAUGAUGCAUCGCACAUGUAUAACUCAAUAACUGUAUAAGACUUUAAGCAUUUUACAAUUGAAUAAUUAAUUAGUUGUUUUUAUGACAUAUUAUACAUGCAGGGGCAAAUUUCUUCCUAAUAAUAUCUUAAAAAAGGUGAUGUAUUUAAUUCGUAGAAGAGAGAAAUAUUUGAAGGUCUCUGCUGUUCGAUUUAUGCGAACUAUUAUAUCUUGUAAGGUGAGUUAGCCAACAAUUCAGCAUACCCUUUAAAUCUCUUUUGGUAAGCCCAAUCAAUAUUUUUUUAUACUGCAUAAUUUCUUUUUGGAAGACUUUAGAUGGACAGAGUGAGAAUCUGUCCAUCAUAUAUAUGAAUAUUUUGGAAUUUUGAUUCUUGAUUGCAAAAUAUCAUCUGCUGUCGAAGUUUUACAUUGAGAACCCUGCAUCUACAAAUCUAUGUAGAUAUGCGAUGCCUUUAAUAACAAAUUAUACUGCCUUUAAUAACAAAUUAUAUUUUCUUUUGUUUGUUUGAUAGCUGAUACUACACUACUAUAGAUUCGAUGCUCAGCCAAAAGAUCUGAUUAAUGUUAUUUUUUAAUUCUAAAUGAAAUUUUUAGAUAAAUCAACAUUUGGCAUCUCAUUAAUUAUUUCAGGACGAGCAAUUAUUUCAGCAUAUUGUGACGAACAAUCUUUUGAAGCCAGUUAUUGAUUCCUUUGUUUCUAAUGGGAAUAAUUAUAAUAUGCUGCAUUCUGGAGUUUUGGAUCUUUUAGAGUACAUUCGUAAGGUGCUUUCUUUUGCUUAAAUAGUUUUUAAGACUCUCUACUUCUCUAGUCUCUAUUGCAUUAUUUCCAUAUUCUUAUUAUGUAACUUUUUUUAUCCAGGUCAGUAUCAAAACAUUGAUCAAGUAUAUCGUUGAAACCUUCUGGGAUCAAUUAUCAAAGUUUGAGAAAUUGGAAACGGUUCACGGAUUGAAGAUUAGAUAUGAUCAGGUAUUCUCUAUUGUUUUUGUCUCCAAUAAUUUAAAAUGAUGCCAUUUAAAUAUCCAAUAAUGAAUGUUUUUCAAUCUGAAAAUUCUUUAUGAUUCCUUUGCAGUCAUUAGAAGCUUACAACACAAAACCCAUCAAUGGUCUCGUAGAAUCAAGAAAACACACUCGUGAAGGUGGCCUUGAGAAAGAAGAAGAAGACUACUUCAAUGCAGACAGGUUUGUAUCUUGUAAUUUUGUUAACUAUAGAGUUUUCUUCCUGUAAAGGGGUUGACCUUAACUUUUUUAUCAGUGAUGAAGAUUCAGUCUCAGCUGUCUCUACCGACAAACUAAAACAUUAUCCAAAACCAAACUUAUCUAAUGGGUAUGGAUCAUCUAAUACUAUUUUGUGAUCUCUUAGAUAGUUAUGUAAAUUUGAUUUAUAUUUUUAACAAGAUCCAUGAAUUGAAUUUUACAAUGCAAUAUUUACCUAUUCAUUUGCAUUUUGUAGCAGGACUAGUGGUCUGGUUGACUAUGAUGACGAUGAUGGCUACAAUCCACCUCAAAAAAAGAUAGAAUCUUCUAUCGAAAAUAACAUUGUUGCAAGGCCUUUGUCAAAACGUAAAUCUGUUUCCAUAAAAGAUACCAAUGCAGCAAAUCUGGAGAUAAAAAAGAAAGGCAAACUAAAUAGUCAUAAAAUCAAGAGUGCUGUUGCAGUUGCCGCUUGCACUACCAGAAGGCAAAUAGAUUCUCAUGGAAAAAUUAAACUCCCACUCCCACCUGAUAUUUCAGCCGUGAAUAAACGUAGUGUGCAGAAAUCAGAUGCCUGUUGUUCUGAUGGCAUGCCCAGCAAUGCAGAUAUCAAAUAUUCUAUCAGUGAUGAAGGUCCUCCAUUAGAAGAUGUAAGUAACGACACACCAUCUACAAUGCACAAUGCUGCAGAUAUCAAAAAUAGAGGUAAGGAUGAGGUAUCUCCUUCAUUAUGUGAAAUUCCUAAUGUUGCAGAUUCCACACUCUCUUCAAGUGGUGAAGAGGGUUCUUCAAACCACGUAAAAGAUGACUUGUUAUCUGAAACAGCCAUUGCUGAUGAUAUUGGAAAUUCAUGUCAUGAGAAAGCUUCUCCUAUAAAACCCACCGUUAUAGAAAUCAUACAUUCAGAUAGUGAAAAUGAGGAACCCUCUUUAUUGCCAUCAUCUGAAGUAUCAAU
rnacentral:lncRNA from 1 species